rnacentral:rRNA from 1 species
UACAGGGGGUGCAAACGUUGCUCGGAAUCAUUGGGCGUAAAGCGCACGUAGGCGGUCUGUUAUGUCGGAUGUGAAAGCCCUUGGCUUAACCGAGGAAGUGCAUCCGAAACUGGCAGGCUAGAGUACUAAAGAGGGUCGCGGAAUUCCCGGUGUAGAGGUGAAAUUCGUAGAUAUCGGGAGGAACACCGGUGGCGAAGGCGGCGACCUGGGUAGAUACUGACGCUGAGGUGCGAAAGCGUGGGGAGCAAACAGG